GGAGUUUGGACCGUGUCUCAGUUCCAAUGUGGGGGACCUUCCUCUCAGAACCCCUACUGAUCGUCGGCUUGGUGAGCCGUUACCUCACCAACUACCUAAUCAGAAGCGUGCUCACCCAUAAUCCUUACGUUUCACUACUAAGAGAUGCCUCUCAGCAGCACAUGGAGCUUUAAUCCAACUUUCGCUGGGCUAUUCCCCGAUUAUGGACAGAUUGCACACCUGUUACGCACCCGUGCGCCGGUCGCCGCCAUCCGUAUUGCUACAAACGCGCUGCCCCUCGACUUGCAUGUGUUAGGCCUGUCGCUAGCGUUCAUC
rnacentral:rRNA from 1 species